UGUGAGGUUAAUUAGUGCCGGAAAAAUACUGGAAAACAACAGAACGGUGGGGGAAUGCCAGAGUCCAUUAUGUGAUAUCCCAGGUGGAGUUACAACAAUGCAUGUGGUCGUGCAGACUCCUUCUGGGGAUAAAGAGAAGAAACCAAGAAGGGAGCCAAAGCCGAACAAGUGUGGUUGUGUAAUAUUAUAGCACUCCCGGCUGAAGAGAUCAAAGAUGACAUCGUUCCUAGGUAAAGAGAAAUUGGCCUGGUGAAGAUUGUGAUGCUAGUUAUGUGGUGGUGGUUUCCUCUACGACAGUAAAUCCUGUACACAAUUUUCAUAGGUGAUGUUUUCCUUGGUGGUGUUUCAUUGUUGGGUUGGCAAAUUGUUUGUUGAAAUGAAAUCAACUAUAUACGUUGCCUU